rnacentral:lncRNA from 1 species
AAGCCCUUUGAAACCAUAUACUCACUUGGUGGUUACUUUGUGGUACAGGUGAGCGUAGUUUUAAGUACUAUUGUCUUUUUUAGUUGAGAUAAUUAAAAUCUUUUAUCUGGUUCAGCGAAGCAGCCACUAUUCAAUGGGAAAACAGAAGUUGAUCAACUUGACAAGGUUAACAUUUUGACAACUUUCAUCUGUCAUGUUACUGUAGAUUUUUGUAUGGAUUUCUUUACCAAACCAUCCUUCCACCUAAAACAUAGACAGCCUCCACAAACCACCAGUUACCCUUGUUAAAUCUGCCACUUCUCCAACAUUUUUCUUUGGGAAUAAACUUUCAACCAAACCCCAAACCCUUGAAAUACACCUGCAAUUGAGCAAAUUUGUUUUUCAAAACUAAAAUUCCAUGCAAUAGUGAUCUAUUGCAAGUUAGGCGGCAGCGUGGACUCCAUAUUUGUGGGGUUCCUAUACUUUCAACAACCAAAUUCAGUGCAAAAAUAAAUUAAUAAACUACUCCAGCUCCUUUAAUCCUUCAUUUACUAUUUUUUUUCUAUCCAUCGUUUGCCUCUUUAUCUUUUUUGUUUUUCCCUGAUUUCCUAUCUCUUUGGCACCGACUACUGUCUAAUAAGAUAGGAGAGGUAAGGGCCGAAGUAGCAAUGCUGGGGAAGGGGUCAAAGUGAUGGCUGAAGGCGAGAGGACGGGAGGCAGCAUAACCAAAACCCAGUAAUCAACAACGAAAGGAAAAAAAAAGGAAAAAAAGAUAAACGAACCUGAUAUAAGCUUCAAUUACAGAGUUUUUUUUGGCUUACAAUUCCAGCGGUGAGUAGAAAAACUUCAUGC